UGUAUGCUCAAACUAAUAACUUAUAAAAAUAUAAAAAUUAGUGAAAUUCGUUGAUAAGGUGGUUUAUAGAAUCUGAGAUUGUGUGUGGAUAAAAUGAAUUACUAAUUUAUAAACAAUACAAUGGCUUUUCAAACUGUGAAUCCAGUUCAGAGAUAUAUUGGUCAUCGCAGAACGUCUUUUGUGAGAGAAACUCUCGGAGAUCAGCUCUAGUUCCGUUCCAAGUAAAUGGUUUAAUAAUUUUUCCUGUCGCUAAUUGCUAGAUAAUGAAACAGUUGCAAAUUGUUGGCUGAAAACACCUGCGCAAUUUGCGAAACUCCAC